rnacentral:rRNA from 1 species
GACGUAGGGCGCGAGCGUUGUCCGGAUUUAUUGGGCGUAAAGAGCUCGUAGGCGGCUUGUUGCGUCGACUGUGAAAACCCGCGGCUUAACUGCGGGCUUGCAGUUGAUACGGGCAGGCUAGAGUUCGGUAGGGGAGACUGGAAUUCCUGGUGUAGCGGUGAAAUGCGCAGAUAUCAGGAAGAACACCAAUGGCGAAGGCAGCUCUCUGGGACGGUACUGACGCUGAGACGCGAAAGCGUGGGGAGCGAACAGG